AUUUAACUAUUGAAGCACCAAUAGAGUAGCUUCUGAUGACUGUCGGCACCUAUUCCUUUUCAUUCUCACUUUCUAAAGAUGAGAGAAUGCCAAAACAUUUGACCUUCACCCAUUCGAACUGAAAUAUUUCUAUUUGCACCCCAUUUCCGUACGCGAGACCUCGAGUAAAUUAGGGAGCUCGAAAGGCACGUGGCGGACAAUGUGGGCUUUGUGGACAUAAUUGGACUCAAGAGGCAGCCCAUGAUUAUUAAUUCGAGCAAGCAAGGGUCUAAGCAAAGGGGCUGGCUCGCGAUCGAAGCUCGAAGCUGACCUGACCCGAAAAAUAUCGGCAACAUCCUACUCGGCCAGCCCGAGUGUGGGUUGGCAGCCCUAAGAUGGAAAUCGUCGGAAGGAUCUUCAAGCUAAGGCAAUUGCGUAUAUAGACAUUCCUCAAGAUGGCAAGAAUGGCGGUCACGAGCAAAGAUCUCGUCAUCUUAUAAUUAUACAGGGAUGCUGCCCAUACGUGGAUUAAAUAUUGACUUACGUGAAGCCCAAGAUGGUGGGGGACUUCCCCAUACAGAGAGAUAUGCAUCACAUUACCAAAUUGGAAAAGGAAGAGCAUGGGAAGAGCAUGGACGCGCGACAUGAUUAGGGAAAUUCCCUUUUUUUUUAUUUCAUUGCUUUAUAUGUUCUCUUUCAUUAAUUAGAAACAGGAUGUAGACUUUGAGCGCGUUUGCUUUUAGAAAAAUCUUCUUCUUUUUUUCUUUUC